ACACACACACACACACACACACACACACUCUUUGCUUGCUUAUCUCCUCUCUCUCUGCUUAAUUUCAUUCCAUUUCACCAUCAACAGAAUGGUUGAAAUGAAUAUACAUUUUGUUAAGCAUGUAUGUAUGUGUAUGUGUAUGUGUGA